rnacentral:tRNA from 1 species
UCUCUGGUGGCUCAGAGGGUAAAGCAUCUGCCUCCAAUGCAGGAGACCUGGGUUCGAUCCCUGGGUGGGGAA